AUGACCACCGCGGGUUACCUUAAUAUAUUGAAAUUUAUAACGAAGACACUAUUCGAUACAUUAUUUCAGAUAAAAGACAAACUGGGUACUGUGGCCCAGCUAUUUGGACGUUCUACAAGCUUUCCAUUCUACAUGAUCCAACCUUCAAAGGAAGUUGUCGAAAAUGAAAAAUUCUACCAUCACUGCCUGCUGAUCACAUCUAAUACCUGUAACUUGGACCUGGCAAGAGUGAAAACUGAACUAAACAAGUUCUGGAAGCUGACUGAUGACUGGGAUAUAAGGAGAGACGGUAGACAGAAUUUCGUAGCAUCCUUCAACUCAGAGGAUGACCUACUAAGCUGUUUAAAGCCUCCCGAUGUAGAAACAUUUCUGGAUGAAAAGGAGGUGAAUUUCAGUGUAGCAAUGUGGGAUGAAGGUGAUGGGGAAAAGCUUGACUUGAUCAAAGAGUGGCUUUUGGUCUAUGGGGUCCCAGGUGCAUAUAGAAACUGGAAGGAGCUAUAUCAAGUGGCAUCUGCAGUUGGAGUUCUGCUUGAGGUGGAUGAGGAAAGUUUGGAAAGUGGAGAUAAGGAGCCUAUUAGGUUGAGGAUAGCGUUAGGAAGUCUUGUUGGUGCUCCUUUCUCUUACCACUUUGUGUUUGGAUGGUCUUCUAGACUAGUCAAGUUCAUGAUUGAAGACAAAGUAGGAAGGAUAGAAGGGCAGUGGAAGGAAGUAGAAGAACGGAAUGUUAGCGUCAUGAAGGAAUAUGCAGAUAUAAGAGAAGAAGGUAUCGAGGUACCUCCAGGAACAGUGAAUAAAGGAAUCGAUUUGGAGGGCACUGGAGUAGAUUUCACAGGCAAUUCUUCUUUGGAUUUCAGAAGUUGCUCAAGCAAGGAAUGUAAAGAAGAACUGAAGACCACAGAACAGAAUGGUAGCGUCAUGAAGGAAUAUGCUGAUAUAAGAGAAGAAGGUAUUGAGGUACCUCCAGAAACAGUGAAUAAAGGAAUGGAUUUAGAGGGCACUGGAGUAGAUUUUCCAGGCAAUUGUUCUUUGGAUGUUGGAAGUUUCUCAGGCAAGGAAUGUAAAGAAGAGCUGAAGACCACAGAAACAGCUACAUUGCUGGAAGUGGCGAAGUUCAUUGCAGAGUUAAGAGUUAAUGAAGACAUCAAGGGAAACAGCACAAGUGCUAUGGCAGUGACCACAGCAAACUCGAAGAUAGCAGCAACAGGGGGGCAAUCCCCAAGUGAAAGCUCAGCAGGAGCUGAUCAUAUGUCGGGUUUGGAAGAUUGUUCAGACAAGGAACAUCAAAAGAAACUGAAGACCUGCGAUAUGGCUACAUUUCUGCAAGUGUCGAAGUUCACUGAAGAGUUAAGAACUGAUGGAGAGAUCAAAGAAAACAAUGCAAGUGCUGUAGUGGGCACCAGAACAAACUCCGAGAGAGCUACAGAAGACAUUCCAAAAGCUACAGAAGACUUGGCUACAUUGCUGCAAUUGUCGAAGUUCAUUGAAGAGUUAAGAGCUGAUGGAGUGAUCGAAGAAAACAAUGCAAGUGCUGUAGUGGGCACCAGAACGAACUCCGAGAGAGCUACAGAAGACAUUCCAAAAGCUACAGAAGACAUGGCUACAUUGCUGCAAGUGUCGAAGUUCAUUGAAGAGUUAAGAACUGAUGGAGAGAUCGAAGAAAACAGUGCAAGUGCUGUAGUGGGCACCAGAACGAACUCCGGUCCAGGAUCUCCGGGCGGGAACAUCCCUUGUCCUCGUCACCGAUCUUCGUGGCGCCGACACAUUGCAGGUCCCUGUUGUCAUCAACUAUGA
rnacentral:rRNA from 1 species